rnacentral:tRNA from 1 species
GGGGAUGUGGCACAGUGGUUAGCGCGCACGCUUUGCAUACCAGUCUGCGUGAGGCCGUGAGUUCGAACCUCACCUUCUCCA